rnacentral:rRNA from 1 species
AGAGUUUGAUCCUGGCUCAGAUUGAACGCUGGCGGCAUGCCUUACACAUGCAAGUCGAACGGUAACAGGUCUUCGGAUGCUGACGAGUGGCGAACGGGUGAGUAAUACAUCGGAACGUGCCCGAUCGUGGGGGAUAACGGAGCGAAAGCUUUGCUAAUACCGCAUACGAUCUACGGAUGAAAGCAGGGGACCGUAAGGCCUUGCGCGGACGGAGCGGCCGAUGGCAGAUUAGGUAGUUGGUGGGAUAAAAGCUUACCAAGCCGACGAUCUGUAGCUGGUCUGAGAGGACGACCAGCCACACUGGGACUGAGACACGGCCCAGACUCCUACGGGAGGCAGCAGUGGGGAAUUUUGGACAAUGGGCGAAAGCCUGAUCCAGCCAUGCCGCGUGCAGGAUGAAGGCCUUCGGGUUGUAAACUGCUUUUGUACGGAACGAAAAGACUCCUUCUAAUACCUGGGGUCCAUGACGGUACCGUAAGAAUAAGCACCGGCUAACUACGUGCCAGCAGCCGCGGUAAUACGUAGGGUGCAAGCGUUAAUCGGAAUUACUGGGCGUAAAGCGUGCGCAGGCGGUUAUAUAAGACAGAUGUGAAAUCCCCGGGCUCAACCUGGGAACUGCAUUUGUGACUGUAUAGCUAGAGUACGGUAGAGGGGGAUGGAAUUCCGCGUGUAGCAGUGAAAUGCGUAGAUAUGCGGAGGAACACCGAUGGCGAAGGCAAUCCCCUGGACCUGUACUGACGCUCAUGCACGAAAGCGUGGGGAGCAAACAGGAUUAGAUACCCCGGUAGUCC